CAAUAGCGUAUAUUAAAGUUGUUGCGGUUAAAAAGCUCGUAGUUGGAUUUCUGCUGAGAACGACCGGUCCGCCCAUUGGGUGUGUAUCUGGCUCUUUGUUGGCAUCUUCUUGGUGAACGUUACUGCACUUGACUGUGUGGAGCGCUACCCAGGACUUUUACUUUGAGGAAAUUAGAGUGUUUCAAGCAGGCAUACGCCUUGAAUACGUUAGCAUGGAAUAAUAAGAUAGGACCUCGGUUCUAUUUUGUUGGUUUCUAGAGCUGAGGUAAUGAUUAAUAGGGAUAGUUGGGGGCAUUCGUAUUUAACUGUCAGAGGUGAAAUUCUUGGAUUUGUUAAAGACGAACUACUGCGAAAGCAUUUGCCAAGGAUGUUUUCAUUAA
rnacentral:rRNA from 1 species